rnacentral:rRNA from 1 species
AUGGAGCGCGGCGGCGGUAAAAUUUCCCCAAUCUCUCCGCCUCCCUCCCACUCCACUGCGACCAGCUCUCUUGGCGCCUUCCAUCCAUCCCCCCGCCCCCCUCCGCGACCAGCUCCCGCCAGGCGGCCGAGCCCUAGCGGAGCGCCAUGGACUCGGCGGUGCUCCCGCGCACCUUCGCCGGCCUCGGCGGCGGCGCCCCAAAGGAGGAGGACGACGACGGAGGCGCCGGCGGCUACGUCAAGGGCGAGCACUGCCUCGGUACCCCACCCCAACGCCCCUACUCUCGCGCCUCACCUCCGGCCUUUCGCUGUUCGCCGACUCCCGCUGCGCGUUUGUGCUGACAAUCUGAAGGAUCUGCAGAGGCUGCUGCGGCGGGAGGUCUUCAGGCAGGUCCGCGAGUGGAAGUUCGCGUCCAGGGGUCCGGCGCCCAUCAUCGAGAGCCACCAGUCCGACCGCAACCUCGGCAUCACGGCAGUAAUUUGUAGUUGCUCGCUAUUAAGUCUAGCCUGCAUUUUCAGGCGCAGAAGGAGAAUGCUGCACGGGUUAAGCGGUGAGCAUGACAGCAUCGAUAAUCGUCCAGUAUCAUCUGAUGAAGAAACAUUGCAAGCACGCAAGCGCAGAACCAAAACUAAGGAGCUACCAGCGGUGGAUCUUUCACCAAGUAUAUCACAACAUCAAGAGACUUUGCAAGGCACGGAUUCUGAUGAUGACACCAUAGGAUUUACUCGCCAAGUCGCCAUUAAGUCUAGCCUGCAUUUUCAGGCGCAUAAGGAAAAGGCUGGAUGGGUUAAGCAGGAAGUAUGA